UUGUGUGUGGUGCUUUACUUUCAUUGGUUUCACUGAGACUCGCCAUCGCUGGAUACUAUUGAAGGUCCCUUGUGAGAAACACUGCAGAAGAUAUCAGUUUUAAAAGAUGCCGUGCAGCGAAGGAGCAGUUUAUACCUCAUCACAAUUUACUGUACUAGGCAGGAUGGCGUUGAUAACAGCAGCAAACCAAACCUUUCCAAAAACUUUUCCUAGAAAACGAUCGCGCAUGCGCCGUAGAAGGGCGACGCGUCAGGCUAGGCGCAGUGUUUGUGGGUUUGCUCUGGGUUUAUUCCUCGCCUCUAUGUACGGUAUGACGGCACUGUUCAUCCAAAACCACAACAUCAGCUUCUGCGUCAUCACUACCGGCAUCCUCGCCGCGGUCACCGGGUUUGGAUCGGGUCUCUCCGACCGCGUGCGAACCAACGUCAUGCUGAUGCUGCCAAUGUUGUGCUCGAGAAAGGGCACACAUUUCUUUCUUUUUCUCAUCUGUACGUUGGUUAUUCAAGGCCCAGUGAGCAACACAAUGGAGAACGUUGAACGUGCUGCAGACAGUGUAAUCUGUGGUGCAGAACUGGUCAUGAAUCAGACCCAGCAACUUAUACAGCAAUCCAGAAAUCCACUGUUGCCGGCCUUGAAUAGGAUUAAAACGAUAACAAGGAAUGCCUACUCAAUGGCAGGCCGAGCACAAAACUUAAUCAGCACACUGACGGAAUCUGUGCGCCAUGUCGCUGGUACUCUGAGAAAUGUCAUGCACUUUUUGGUGAAUAUCGGUGACCUGUGUAAUGAUAAAGUAGGUAUGCCACAUAAGAAGUGCACUACGCUGUUUGAUGGUGCCCGUGAGGACUGCAUGGAGCUGCUCUCUGUGUUCUCGUUCUUAUGCCACCUCCUGGAUGGAUUUCAGCCUCUCUGCGGUCUUGCACGUGUCGGAGAGCUUUUCUGCAUCUUGCCAUCAUAUAUUGCCGACCACAUGAAGACUGCUUUGGCUUUUCCAACCAUUACGGCAUUUGAUCGAAUUAAGAAGGAGUUCGAAUUCAACAUCUCCGCCUCUAUCCACUAUGACCUGCAUCUGAACAGCAGUCAGUCCAUGCAGGAUGCUGCUCAGGGGAUCAUGCAGGAGGUGUCCGAGGAGCUGGGUCUCCUCCAGGAGCUCAAGGUUCUACUGGCAUACAUGGGUUUCUUCCUGCUUCUUCUCAUGUAUCUCCAGGCCGUUCUGUAUAAAAAUCAGUACCUUCAUAAUGAUGAAUUUGACAACGUCUACAUAACAGAUCAGUUUAUUGAGCUGGACAGGAAGUUCUCCAGACUGGGCAAAGCGGCAGUACUUCCCCUCAGUCACAAGGAAACUCUCACCUACAUCAGGCCUUGCUCUAUGUAUCUGACUGUAAGUGAGAGACGGGCUGUGAUUGGUCAGGUGUUGUCUUUGCUCAGGUAUAUAGCUAUGACCUGUAUACUGAUAGCCAUAGACCUUCUUGUUUUCUGGGUGUUUGAGUUGGUGCACCACCACGCUCAGAGCGAGAUUGUGACCAAAGCUCCUGUAGUGGUUGCAGUACAGGUAAACGGAUCUGGAUACGCUUCUGAUAUCUUUAGGGACAUUGUAGCCUCAAUUGACAUCUUGCAGAAAAGAAACAUCACUGUGCUCAGCAAAAAAUGUCUCAUAAAGCCCUUGGAGCCAGACUACAUGAGAUACAUGCUCAUAGGUCUUCUUUAUGGAUUCACUCUGUUUAUUGUGUUUGCUGGUGGAUAUGUCAAACGCUUACAGAGGUUUGUUUGUGCCAGAUACCAUCCUCAAAGAGAAAAAAAAAGGAUCUGGUAUCUCCACAGUCACAUUCUCUCUCAGCGUGAAUCUUUAGGAAAAGCUUUACUGAGAGCUAUAACGCGAAACAGGGUAGACCAGCAAGACAUUGGCAUAAUACAAACUCUAGUCAAACGCUUGCCAGGAGGUACCGUCAUAAGCAGAUUCCUGAACAUCAGUGAAGAAUCGUGUAUGGCAUGUGGGAAGGUAUUGGACAAAAGUGAAAAUGAAAUGCAUACCUGCCCUACCGCUCACUGUACAGGCUGUUACUGUUCCCCAUGUUUUCAACUAAUGGGAAACAUUUGUGCAAUCUGCUCAGGGGCCCUCACAUUCCAGGAUGCAGAGCAAGAGCUAGACUCCAGCGAUGAGGAGGAAGUCAGUUUAUGUGAGGAUGCUACCACAUCACAGACGAGGCAGAGGAUAGAGGGGAGGGAACCAAUGACCAGGUGUGUCUUCAGGUAGGGUACCUGAGCAUGAAGAGGAAGGUGAAGCGCAAGAGCACUCAGCCCUGGAGGACAAUGGGGGCAAAGAGUUUGAGCUUAGUGACCCAGUCUGAACCCUUCCAUAUGAACCAGCAACCAUACGGCCAUCUAAAUAGAAACCAAGGCCAAAGCAUUUGUGUUUCAUGUAUUACCAGAAUUUAGAUUUAUUCUGCAGUAAAAACAUAAACGUUAUAUGAAAGCUAA